rnacentral:tRNA from 1 species
UCCCUGGUGGCUCAGUGGUAAAGAAUCUGCAAGCCAAUGCAGGAGAUCUGGGUUCAAUCCCUAGUCUGGGAA